AUUGAACGCUGGCGGCAUGCCUUACACAUGCAAGUCGAACGGUAACGGGCCUUCGGGUGCCGACGAGUGGCGAACGGGUGAGUAAUGUAUCGGAACGUACCUUUCAGUGGGGGAUAACGUAGCGAAAGUUACGCUAAUACCGCAUAUUCUGUGAGCAGGAAAGCAGGGGAUCGCAAGACCUUGCGCUGAUUGAGCGGCCGAUAUCAGAUUAGCUAGUUGGUGAGGUAAAGGCUCACCAAGGCGACGAUCUGUAGCGGGUCUGAGAGGAUGAUCCGCCACACUGGAAGUGAGACACGGUGCAGACUCCUACGGGAGGCAGCAGUGGGGAAUUUUGGACAAUGGGGGCAACCCUGAUCCAACCAUGCCGCGUGAGUGAAGAAGGCCUUCGGGUUGUAAAGCUCUUUCGGCCGGGAAGAAAUCGUAUCAGCUAAUACCUGGUGCGGAUGACGGUACCGGCAUAAGAAGCACCGGCUAACUACGUGCCAGCCGCCGCGGUAAGAC
rnacentral:rRNA from 1 species